CGUUGCGCUGCCGUAACGCGUCCGGUGGAAUCCCCGGGUCACUCAUGGCCGAUCAGUGUGUUCUUUCUGAUUAGCUCUUAAUUGAGAUCACCUGUCACGCACCCCUUUAUUAUAGGUGAACCCAAUGUGUUUGGUUUACUUUUCGCAUCGGCCUGUGUCAAUCGAGGUUGAGUUUAGUGAGGGUUGAAAGUCUUCGAUCUAGAUUGCAGAUCACUAUUGUCACUUUAUACAAACUGAAAGUAUGCGUUGUUGCGUGUUUGUUUUUGUGGGCAUUUGACUGAACAGCCCAGACAAAUAUUGCUACCAACAUGGCACUUCGAUACAGACCACCGCAGUGUUAGAUGACUGACAAGAUCUAUGGGGGGGCCCCCUUUGGGCCCCCCCAUACCAACUUAGUCUUCAAAGGAAUCUAGUGCCAUGGGACUCCAGUGUCUUCAAAACAUCCUCGGAAUACAUGUGUAUGAUUGGUCCACCGAAGGGUUGAUCUGGAAGCCACCACGGUCCACGCAGUAAUCUGCUGCGUGGGCCGUAGUGGCUUCCAGAGCCAUCUUUCGGUCUUGGUCAGGAUUUUUUACAGUUGCCCUUCAAUGUAGCAGGCUACGGGUUUCUGAAGAAGCCUGCUUUACGUAGCAUUGGCGUACAAAUAUUGUGCAAAAUGCUUAUGUAAUUGCACUAGCACUGGUAACCUGUAGAUUAGCUUAGUUUAACGUCAUUCGGUGCUAUCUGUCAAAUGUGUGGCUUACUUUAAGUCCACAAGGCCCUCUGGUAAACCACGUUGGAACACCCCUGGACAAGGUGAUUAGUCACUGGGUGUGUGCUAAAGUUUUGUUCCAUUUUUCACUAGUUGGUUAAGGUUUGGUAGAAUUGUUUGGAUGCUAGCGACGUGAUGGCGUAUGUACAAGAGCCUACCGUGGCCAGGCCACAGUUGCGACGCGGCCAGAUGGCCUAGUGUGAGUGCAACCUUGAUUGCAUUUGUAUACUGUUUACCAUUGGAUGUUUAUGCAAUUUGGCUUAAUUCAUCCGCUGUAAAGCUGCAUUUGACUAUUCCAGGGUCGUUUUGUACAGGCUUUCAAUUGACCAUGUUGACUAGUUUGUGGGAAGUUUUUUUUUUUUUUUUACACUUGCUUACAAUCCAACGGUUGCGACCACUUAUGCAACUGGGCUGUGAACCUUGCAAUUCUAGUUGCAUAUUUGUACACGCAAGUUUGUCCAUUUCUAUCGCCAUCACUAACACUAGCUUCAGCAUUUCCUUGUAGGCCAUUAGCUGACUUGUGUAUUGGAGCGAUGAUUUGGGUAUUUUAAGAUGCUUGAAAACCUAAAAUAAAGCAAAAUGCGUGUCUGGUGUGCAAGAGCCAAUUUGUUGGCUUGCAGUAGUCGAGGAGUUGCCGUAGGUCGUAAGCCAUCUGGAGGUUGUGGCAAUGGAGGCUUGUGGUAGAUCUGCCAUCCAAGAAAGGUUAAUUCUUCUGAAGCAUUAUUAAUAGUUUAGUAAAUUGAAUCUAUUCAUAUAGAACUAUAAAAUCCAAGACUGCAGCCAGUAACUUGGAUCGCAAUAUGUGGAAAGUAUUAGUCUUCAUUUGUAACAACAGAAUAAUUUACAUGACUAACUGGGUUUCUUCCAUUUUCUAACUAGGGGGACUUGACUGAGUCUACUGGAUUAAUCAGUAGCGGUACUUUGCUCAACAGAUUUGAUGGCAUGACUACAGGGUGACAAAGACAAUUAUUCCCUGCCUAUCAAAAGAGACUUCUAAAACGUAUCUGCUAGAACAGUUCCUAUACUUUUUGUAUAAUUUGGUCAUGCUGCAAAUUUACUUUUUGUAGUUGCUCCAUAUUUAGUUCUUUGACAGCCUCACCUGCUAGAAAAGUCUUUUCAAAUCGGCUAAAUAUAAUGAACUAAAUUAAUAGCCAUGAAAUGUCGUCACUCAUACUAAUGGCAAAUACCCCCUUUCAGUUGGUGGUUCAACACUGUAAAUUAAGUAAAUUACACGAAUGUCCUGGAGCAAUUGGGAAUACACUUUUAUUUAGUCUACCUGACCAGGGACAUCUUUGAACUAUAGGUCACCUAACCCAAACUUUUCACUCUUGUUAGGUUGUCCUUUUCUCUUGUUUUAACCCGAAAGGGCUGAAAAUAUCAACAUUUCAGGUAUUCUGUUUGGAUAAUGUGCAAAACUUGUGGCUUCACUAAUAAAAAAAAUUAACGAAUGUAUUUUCUUAAUGUGGUUAAACUAUUUAAAGAUUUGUAUGCAACUUAUUUCUGCUCAAUUUGUGGUCAAUGAAACUCAAAUUUUUUAAUUUGAUAAAAACACAACUAUGGGUUGAAGGUAUUUGCUUUGGGCAUCUUUUGAUAUUUUUAGAAUCUAGCUCCAUUGCCGUUAGAAAUGGUGUCUCCCAGUACUGCAAAGUGCUUCCACAAGUUUAAAAGAGUGGGCAGAAAAGGAACUGCCAACUAAAUCUAUUUAUCAUGGGUAGAAAGUUUCCAUGGAAGCUCUUGGCUGCUGGUUCCCAAACACAGCUCCACUGUUAGCCUGUGACCUUGUGUUUAACUUUUUUGGACUUUUGGUGACUUUCACGAAAGAAAUGAACUGGUUAAUACAAUAAACAAGACAUUUGAAACUUCAGCUACAUUUUUAUCUAUAUGUACUGCCUUUGAUUUCAACCCGUGACAUGUUUGUCAGGUGAUAACUAUGUACCUGUGACCGCAUAUCAUGGUACUAUUUUGAACUGUGUGGAUAUUGCAUCAAAUCCGAAAUAAAUAGUUCAAGCAAUUUGUGGGACUUGGCUGCUUUUACAUUACUCAUUUUGGGGGUUAUUUCAGUCUCUCCAACCUGCAGGUCGUGCGAAGAAUCAUGUGAAUGGGA
ensembl:lncRNA